GAUGAACGCUGACAGAAUGCUUAACACAUGCAAGUCAACUUGAAUUUGGGUUUUUAACUUAGGUUUGGGUGGCGGACGGGUGAGUAACGCGUAAAGAACUUGCCUCACAGCUAGGGACAACAUUUGGAAACGAAUGCUAAUACCUAAUAUUAUGAUAAUAGGGCAUCCUAUAAUUAUGAAAGCUAUAAGCGCUGUGAGAGAGCUUUGCGUCCCAUUAGCUAGUUGGAGAGGUAACGGCUCACCAAGGCGAUGAUGGGUAGCCGGCCUGAGAGGGUGAUCGGCCACAAGGGGACUGAGACACGGCCCUUACUCCUACGGGAGGCAGCAGUGGGGAAUAUUGGACAAUGGACCGAGAGUCUGAUCCAGCAAUUCUGUGUGCACGAUGAAGUUUUUCGGAAUGUAAAGUGCUUUCAGUUGGGAAGAAGCAAAUGACGGUACCAACAGAAGAAGUGACGGCUAAAUACGUG
rnacentral:rRNA from 1 species